ensembl:snRNA U6 U6 spliceosomal RNA
GUGCUCACCUGGGCAGCACAUCUACUAACACUGGAACAACACAGAGGAGAUGAGCACGGCCCCCGCACAAGGAUGACACGCAAAUCUGUGAAGUCGUCCCUAUUUCU